GGGUUGUGAGGUUAAGCGACUAAGCGUACACGGUGGAUGCCCUGGCAGUCAGAGGCGAUGAAGGACGUGCUAAUCUGCGAUAAGCGUCGGUAAGGUGAUAUGAACCGUUAUAACCGGCGAUUUCCGAAUGGGGAAACCCAGUGUGUUUCGACACACUAUCAUUAACUGAAUCCAUAGGUUAAUGAGGCGAACCGGGGGAACUGAAACAUCUAAGUACCCCGAGGAAAAGAAAUCAACCGAGAUUCCCCCAGUAGCGGCGAGCGAACGGGGAGCAGCCCAGAGCCUGAAUCAGUGUGUGUGUUAGUGGAAGCGUCUGGAAAGGCGCGCGAUACAGGGUGACAGCCCCGUACACAAAAAUGCACAUGCUGUGAGCUCGAUGAGUAGGGCGGGACACGUGGUAUCCUGUCUGAAUAUGGGGGGACCAUCCUCCAAGGCUAAAUACUCCUGACUGACCGAUAGUGAACCAGUACCGUGAGGGAAAGGCGAAAAGAACCCCGGCGAGGGGAGUGAAAAAGAACCUGAAACCGUGUACGUACAAGCAGUGGGAGCACGCUUAGGCGUGUGACUGCGUACCUUUUGUAUAAUGGGUCAGCGACUUAUAUUCUGUAGCAAGGUUAACCGAAUAGGGGAGCCGAAGGGAAACCGAGUCUUAACUGGGCGUUAAGUUGCAGGGUAUAGACCCGAAACCCGGUGAUCUAGCCAUGGGCAGGUUGAAGGUUGGGUAACACUAACUGGAGGACCGAACCGACUAAUGUUGAAAAAUUAGCGGAUGACUUGUGGCUGGGGGUGAAAGGCCAAUCAAACCGGGAGAUAGCUGGUUCUCCCCGAAAGCUAUUUAGGUAGCGCCUCGUGAAUUCAUCUCCGGGGGUAGAGCACUGUUUCGGCAAGGGGGUCAUCCCGACUUACCAACCCGAUGCAAACUGCGAAUACCGGAGAAUGUUAUCACGGGAGACACACGGCGGGUGCUAACGUCCGUCGUGAAGAGGGAAACAACCCAGACCGCCAGCUAAGGUCCCAAAGUCAUGGUUAAGUGGGAAACGAUGUGGGAAGGCCCAGACAGCCAGGAUGUUGGCUUAGAAGCAGCCAUCAUUUAAAGAAAGCGUAAUAGCUCACUGGUCGAGUCGGCCUGCGCGGAAGAUGUAACGGGGCUAAACCAUGCACCGAAGCUGCGGCAGCGACGCUUAUGCGUUGUUGGGUAGGGGAGCGUUCUGUAAGCCUGCGAAGGUGUGCUGUGAGGCAUGCUGGAGGUAUCAGAAGUGCGAAUGCUGACAUAAGUAACGAUAAAGCGGGUGAAAAGCCCGCUCGCCGGAAGACCAAGGGUUCCUGUCCAACGUUAAUCGGGGCAGGGUGAGUCGACCCCUAAGGCGAGGCCGAAAGGCGUAGUCGAUGGGAAACAGGUUAAUAUUCCUGUACUUGGUGUUACUGCGAAGGGGGGACGGAGAAGGCUAUGUUGGCCGGGCGACGGUUGUCCCGGUUUAAGCGUGUAGGCUGGUUUUCCAGGCAAAUCCGGAAAAUCAAGGCUGAGGCGUGAUGACGAGGCACUACGGUGCUGAAGCAACAAAUGCCCUGCUUCCAGGAAAAGCCUCUAAGCAUCAGGUAACAUCAAAUCGUACCCCAAACCGACACAGGUGGUCAGGUAGAGAAUACCAAGGCGCUUGAGAGAACUCGGGUGAAGGAACUAGGCAAAAUGGUGCCGUAACUUCGGGAGAAGGCACGCUGAUAUGUAGGUGAAGUCCCUCGCGGAUGGAGCUGAAAUCAGUCGAAGAUACCAGCUGGCUGCAACUGUUUAUUAAAAACACAGCACUGUGCAAACACGAAAGUGGACGUAUACGGUGUGACGCCUGCCCGGUGCCGGAAGGUUAAUUGAUGGGGUUAGCGGUAACGCGAAGCUCUUGAUCGAAGCCCCGGUAAACGGCGGCCGUAACUAUAACGGUCCUAAGGUAGCGAAAUUCCUUGUCGGGUAAGUUCCGACCUGCACGAAUGGCGUAAUGAUGGCCAGGCUGUCUCCACCCGAGACUCAGUGAAAUUGAACUCGCUGUGAAGAUGCAGUGUACCCGCGGCAAGACGGAAAGACCCCGUGAACCUUUACUAUAGCUUGACACUGAACAUUGAGCCUUGAUGUGUAGGAUAGGUGGGAGGCUUUGAAGUGUGGACGCCAGUCUGCAUGGAGCCGACCUUGAAAUACCACCCUUUAAUGUUUGAUGUUCUAACGUUGACCCGUAAUCCGGGUUGCGGACAGUGUCUGGUGGGUAGUUUGACUGGGGCGGUCUCCUCCUAAAGAGUAACGGAGGAGCACGAAGGUUGGCUAAUCCUGGUCGGACAUCAGGAGGUUAGUGCAAUGGCAUAAGCCAGCUUGACUGCGAGCGUGACGGCGCGAGCAGGUGCGAAAGCAGGUCAUAGUGAUCCGGUGGUUCUGAAUGGAAGGGCCAUCGCUCAACGGAUAAAAGGUACUCCGGGGAUAACAGGCUGAUACCGCCCAAGAGUUCAUAUCGACGGCGGUGUUUGGCACCUCGAUGUCGGCUCAUCACAUCCUGGGGCUGAAGUAGGUCCCAAGGGUAUGGCUGUUCGCCAUUUAAAGUGGUACGCGAGCUGGGUUUAGAACGUCGUGAGACAGUUCGGUCCCUAUCUGCCGUGGGCGCUGGAGAACUGAGGGGGGCUGCUCCUAGUACGAGAGGACCGGAGUGGACGCAUCACUGGUGUUCGGGUUGUCAUGCCAAUGGCACUGCCCGGUAGCUAAAUGCGGAAGAGAUAAGUGCUGAAAGCAUCUAAGCACGAAACUUGCCCCGAGAUGAGUUCUCCCUGACCCUUUAAGGGUCCUGAAGGAACGUUGAAGACGACGACGUUGAUAGGCCGGGUGUGUAAGCGCAGCGAUGCGUUGAGCUAACCGGUACUAAUGAACCGUGAGGCUUAACCUUACAACGCCGAAGGUGUUU
rnacentral:rRNA from 1 species